rnacentral:lncRNA from 1 species
UCUCUCAGUCUCAAAUCUCAAUUCAUUAGUUCCACUUCUUCGUGAGAUUCAUACGCACAAACAGCAACGUUACUGCGCUAGGGUUCAUCAUUCUCUCAGGUAACGGUUGAUCUAGGGUUCAUCCUUUCAAUUUCCAGUUCGUGGUUUCAUCGUUUAAGAACUAACUCUUUCUACCUUCCAAUUUUUCGGUUGAUGCUAGUUCGUGGUUUCAUUGUUUAACGAAGAACCGUCGCCGUCCAUUAUUCAACCACAAAUCACCACCGAUGUAAGUUACUCCUUAUCUUUCUUUCUCUCUUUCCCUCUCUUUGGUUGAAAUGUAGUUUGGUUGAACUAUUUCUGAUGGGUUUGACUUUGUUUUGUUUAACUCCGAUUCUAAAACUGCUUCUUCAGAUUGAUUUUGUGAAGGUGUUGUCGUAAUAUUGUUCCUACUCAGCUCGCCGACAACUUCCGGAAUAAGAAGCCUGAGGUUUUACUCUUGGCCGUUAUAACUUCAUGUUAUCUAUAGCUACUAAUAACUAGCUGUUCAAAUAAAAAGUGAUUUUUAAAAAGUGAUUUUUAAAGCUAUAACUACUGGAUAACGCAACAGCAAAUGAAGAAUCAUUAGUUACUGCUAUGAAGAAAUAAUCAUUUUCUUACACAAGUUUGAAAUCACUUUUUUCAAGCAUUACACAAGUUACUGCUAUCACAUUUCAUAUAAUGGCAGGAAAUUAUGGUGCGCGUUGGUAAUAUUAAAGAUAUGAAGUAGAAUUCGGUAAUCACACUUCUGGUACUAGUUUUCUGUAAUCACACUUCUUUUUUCAAAUGAUUUUUCAUCACUUUUUAUUGCCAGAUUAUGGUUCCAGUCCCACAACUAUUGUUUAGAGGUUAUUAAUAGGCCACAACUCUUGUUGUGAAGAGAUUGAUCUUUGAGACAGUAACCUUGAGGUGGAAGUUGAAUCAUUCUCUUUCGGAGUAACAGCUUCAGUUGGUUUCUAACUGAGUUUUGAUAUUUAUGCCUAUAAAUGAAUUUCAUUUACUGAGAAAGCUUGUUGGUUAAAUAUUCCAUGUGUAUUUCUCAUCUCAUCUUUUCCUUCUGUUU